AGUGAACGCUGGCGGUAGGCCUAACACAUGCAAGUCGAACGGCAGCACAGUAAGAGCUUGCUCUUACGGGUGGCGAGUGGCGGACGGGUGAGGAAUACAUCGGAAUCUACUUUUUCGUGGGGGAUAACGUAGGGAAACUUACGCUAAUACCGCAUACGACCUACGGGUGAAAGCAGGGGAUCUUCGGACCUUGCGCGAUUGAAUGAGCCGAUGUCGGAUUAGCUAGUUGGCGGGGUAAAGGCCCACCAAGGCGACGAUCCGUAGCUGGUCUGAGAGGAUGGUCAGCCACACUGGAACUGAGACACGGUCCAGACUCCUACGGGAGGAAGCAGUGGGGAAUAUUGGACAAUGGGCGAAAGCCUGAUCCAGCAAUACCGCGUGGGUGAAGAAGGCCUUCGGGUUGUAAAGCCCUUUUGUUGGGAAAGAAAAGCAGCAGGUUAAUACCCCGCUGUUCUGACGGUACCCAAAGAAUAAGCACCGGCUAACUUCGUG
rnacentral:rRNA from 1 species